GUGCUCACUUCGGCAGCACAUACGCUAAAAUUGAAAGGAUACAGAGGAGAUUAGCAUGGCCCCUGUGCAAGAAUAACAUACAAAUUCGUGAGCAUUCCAUAUUUUUU